rnacentral:rRNA from 1 species
AAAUUGAAGAGUUUGAUCAUGGCUCAGAUUGAACGCUGGCGGCAGGCCUAACACAUGCAAGUCGAGCGGAAACGACACUAACAAUCCUUCGGGUGCGUUAAUGGGCGUCGAGCGGCGGACGGGUGAGUAAUGCCUAGGAAAUUGCCUUGAUGUGGGGGAUAACCAUUGGAAACGAUGGCUAAUACCGCAUGAUGCCUACGGGCCAAAGAGGGGGACCUUCGGGCCUCUCGCGUCAAGAUAUGCCUAGGUGGGAUUAGCUAGUUGGUGAGGUAAUGGCUCACCAAGGCGACGAUCCCUAGCUGGUCUGAGAGGAUGAUCAGCCACACUGGAACUGAGACACGGUCCAGACUCCUACGGGAGGCAGCAGUGGGGAAUAUUGCACAAUGGGCGAAAGCCUGAUGCAGCCAUGCCGCGUGUAUGAAGAAGGCCUUCGGGUUGUAAAGUACUUUCAGUUGUGAGGAAGGGUGUGUAGUUAAUAGCUGCGCAUCUUGACGUUAGCAACAGAAGAAGCACCGGCUAACUCCGUGCCAGCAGCCGCGGUAAUACGGAGGGUGCGAGCGUUAAUCGGAAUUACUGGGCGUAAAG